GGCCUACCAUGGUCGUAACGGGUAACGGAGAAUUAGGGUUCGAUUCCGGAGAGGGAGCCUGAGAAAUGGCUACCACUUCUAAGGAAGGCAGCAGGCGCGCAAAUUACCCAAUCCCGACACGGGGAGGUAGUGACAAUAAAUAACAAUACGGGGCUCUUUCGGGUCUCGUAAUUGGAAUGAGUACAAUUUAAAUCUCUUAACGAGGAACAAUUGGAGGGCAAGUCUGGUGCCAGCAGCCGCGGUAAUUCCAGCUCCAAUAGCGUAUAUUAAAGUUGUUGCAGUUAAAAAGCUCGUAGUUGAAUUUCGGGAUUAAUUUACUGGUCGUGCUUUUGUACGUACUGGUAUAAUCGGUUUCUCCUUUCUGACGAACUAUAAUGCCAUUAAUUUGGUGUUUUAGGGAAUCAGGACUGUUACUUUGAAAAAAUUAGAGUGUUUAAAGCAGGCUCACGCUUGAAUACAUUAGCAUGGAAUAACGGAAUAGGAUGUUUGAUUCUAUUUUGUUGGUUUCUAGGAUCGACGUAAUGAUUAAUAGGGAUAGUUGGGGGCAUUAGUAUUCAAUUGUCAGAGGUGAAAUUCUUGGAUUUAUUGAAGACUAACUACUGCGAAAGCAUUUGCCAAGGAUGUUUUCAUUAAUCAAGAACGAAAGUUAGGGGAUCGAAGACGAUCAGAUACCGUCGUAGUUCUAACCGUAAACGAUGCCAACUAGCGAUCAGUGGGGGUUAAAUUUAUGACUCCACUGGAAGCUUCCG
rnacentral:rRNA from 1 species